GCAGGGUUGCCUUGCCACGAUUGCUCCAUGGAGGAGUCGCCGAGCCGGGCCCCUCGCUGGGCGAUUCCCUCCGCCCCCUGGGAUGCGCCGGGGCCCAAUGGCGCGCAUAUGGGCCGCUGCUCCUCCCUUGCCCUCCCAGGCCCCUUUUCUCUUUCUCAGAAGGGCAGGAAGAGACCUCAAGGAAUCCUUGCGUGUGCCUGGUGAACUUUACUGAAAGAGUUUUCAAUAGACAGGAUCACUGCAGAAAAAACCCUGGAAGACUGCCCAAACUUCCGAAUGGUGAAGCAUGUUAAUUAUAUGGAACCAGGGAGCGGUGGCAAGUUGCAAUAAAAGAAUAAGAAAAUCAGACGAUGAUGAUGAUGAUGACGACGACGACGAUUCUGUUCAUCCAAAUGAAGAUUGCAGUCUCCUUGACUGGGUGUUAACUCCAAUGAUUUGGGUCCUAGCCAAGACCUAAGAAUCAUGGAGGUAUCAUCAUCAUCUCUUGUAGGGAGGCCCCCUUCUUUCCCUCCCUUCCUCCAUCCUCCACCAUGUUUAUGUUUGGCAGAACAAAUACACCAGAAACAAUUGGUGCUGUGGAGAGGAUUACCUGGAAUAUUAUUCUAUGUAAAGAGUAAUUGUCACAUAACCAAGGACAACAGACGUGAGAUCACAUCUGUGGUAUUUCUUCUCUCACACCUUUUUAUUCUAGGCCAGAAGGUGAAAGUGGGAUCCAGAUGAACCUGGCAACUUUUCAGUGCCCAUACUGAAUCUCAUUUUUGGCAAGGCAGAUAAAAAUCGAUGACCUGUCUCUAAGUUAGCACUGAGCCAUAAGAUCAACUGGGUUGAUUGUUAAGUGUCGUUCAAAAGAAAACUGGGAAUUUGUGGGGAUAAUGAGUGACUCCCCUAUUAGAGAUCUCUAACUUUCUCAUAAAUGUAGUAGUAUUCCUUAGAGGACUGAGGGGAGUCAAGAUGGUUAAACCAAAUUCCAUUUAUAGCAGCCAGGGCAAAUCAAGAGAUGCUUUGCUUUAGGAAGUGACUGAAGUUACUGAAAAGAGCCACUAGAUGGCAAACUGAGCACAGGCAGGAAAAAGGACUUUUAUCCCACCAAAGAUAAUGAAUAGUUGUUCUUCUCAUCGCUCAAAACUGGUUCUUAGCUUGCAAGGCGAGAGGGCCUGUGAAAGGCCUGCCCUGCUUUUCAGCCAUAUUGGCACCGGUCAUACAUGCAUCCUGACGCUACAUUCAGGAUUUAAUUUAAGAUGGGUUUUUGGCGUACUAGCGCAUUUGCUCAAAAAUGCUGUUUGCAUUUUAGCUGUACUAGAGAAGCUGUUUGUGUUUAGCUGUCAUCCAGGUUGGACUCAAGCAAAGGCAGACAAAACCUGAGCUGAUUAAAGAUGCCACCAUCGACACAGUAACCUUGGGAGGAAACUGCUAACUCAGUGGGAAUUAUAUCUGAUUGGGGAGAAGAAAACUAACAACUCAGGUUGCAUAUGGUAUCUUGAGCUAGAUCUAGUAUGUCAGUUUUCAAGUUGUGCUGAGAGCCACCUACCAGAAGAACAAAUUUAUGCAACAGGGAUAUUGAUAGGAGAAAAAUAAGAAUGUAAAAUUUACCAAUGAAUUUCACACUUUCAACAUUUAUUUGUUUGAUUUAUAUCCCACCUUUUCAUUCAGCAACACACAGAGCACUCCCUCCUCCUGUUU